rnacentral:rRNA from 1 species
GCACGGGUGAGUAACACGUAUCCAACCUGCCGAUAACUCGGGGAUAGCCUUUCGAAAGAAAGAUUAAUACCCGAUGGUAUAAUCAGACCGCAUGGUCUUGUUAUUAAAGAAUUUCGGUUAUCGAUGGGGAUGCGUUCCAUUAGGCAGUUGGUGAGGUAACGGCUCACCAAACCUUCGAUGGAUAGGGGUUCUGAGAGGAAGGUCCCCCACAUUGGAACUGAGACACGGUCCAAACUCCUACGGGAGGCAGCAGUGAGGAAUAUUGGUCAAUGGGCGCAGGCCUGAACCAGCCAAGUAGCGUGAAGGAUGACUGCCCUAUGGGUUGUAAAACUUCUUUUAUAUGGGAAUAAAGUUUUCCACGUGUGGAAUUUUGUAUGUACCAUAUGAAUAAGGAUCGGCUAACUCCGUGCCAGCAGCCGCGGUAAUACGGAGGAUCCGAGCGUUAUCCGGAUUUAUUGGGUUUAAAGGGAGCGUAGGUGGACAGUUAAGUCAGUUGUGAAAGUUUGCGGCUCAACCGUAAAAUUGCAGUUGAUACUGUCUGUCCUGAGUACAGUAGAGGUGGGCGGAAUUCGUGGUGUAGCGGUGAAAUGCUUAGAUAUCACGAAGAACUC